rnacentral:lncRNA from 1 species
AAUGGCCAAGAUGGCGGCUUCCAGGGACCCCGUGUUUCUGAUAGUGUUCGGCUUGAGGACAAAAGCGUGUGACCAUUUUCCGUGGCGAGUGGUACAAAAGGCCCAGGGCGUCAUCCCUUGCCGGCGAGAGGCGAGCGGACUUUCCAGCGGCCUAGCUCCCGCCCGCAGGGAGGCCGAAGUCCCCCUUGUCCCCCUUCUCCCAUUUCGUCCUCCUGCAUCGCGACCCUCCCAGUCGCUGCGGCAUUGGGUGUUUGUGUCCCUCCGUCCUGAAAGCCAUUGUUCCCGCUUUUUUACCCUCCUGGGAAUAGGAAAAAGAGUCGCGCCUCCGGCGCCAAUAGCGCUCGGAGGCGUGGCCAUCUAGGGUCCAGGCUGGUCUCAGGGAACCCGACCCUGGGCCUGGCUCUCAGAGAGUCAUGGGAGCAAGGGGUCUGGCUCAGCCGGGGAAGUGGCCUGGAGGAUGGGCUUUUGAGCUGGGCUGCAGAGCCAGCGAUCUCUUGAAAUGAGGAAAGAAACCCUCAUUCUGAUUUUUCUCUACGCAAUAGAGGGGCUCCAAUUCCUGAGAUCCUAGACACCCUGGGAGAAUCUGGAUUUUACUUUUUUGAAAACGCACUGUAAAUAGCAAAGAGGUGUUUUCUGUGAGAUUGCCAGCCAGUGGCAACAUGGUCCCCUAAAAAGGCCUGUAAUGGCCUUGAGGAAAGUUUUCU